UUGUAAUUUUGACAUGCUUUUAUAAUUUUCCAGAAUUUGUCAGAAAUACCACUGUUGCCUGGGUUAGAGGAUGAUGCAAGCUUAAGCCAAGAAAUCAACACCAAGGUUUUAAGCUACAAAGCAUUUCGGUGUUUUUAUAUUGCUCAGUCUUAUGCUGCAUUGAAGAAGUGGAAGGAAGCUAUGGCAUUGUAUGAACGCACGCUCACUCACACGGCACAGGCACUGGACGGCUACAAGACUAUGAAUACCACCGAUAACCAGCACAGCAGCAGC